GGUUUCUAAAGGAAUGUCUUUUGCCAAAUAAGGCGCCGUGAGACCGCAGACAUUAAACAGCGGACAUAUAGGACUGGUACCGGCACAUCUGACAGAAAAUUGGAUAUGCACGUGCUGAGAGAAAAUACUACAAAUCUCAGGAUUGAUUUCAAACACCAGUUUAAUUAUGACCGGUAUGAUUGGACUGAACUUUGACUUCAAUCUAACUACUUUUAUAGCGCAUGGUGUCUUCAUGUAGGCAUAUACUGGAUGCUACUAAAAAUAAGCGUAAGAAUUAACCUGGUAUCGACCAAGACUUAUAUCACAUUGAAUACGAUUGAUGACCACCUGAUCCAUGUACAUCUGACUGAUCUGAGCCUCAAUUAUGCCAAUUGUUAAGUGGAAAAUGGCUCUUGCUCAAUCGUGUGUACAUGUGACCAUGGACCUGCGAUCUGCUCAACGAGUAAUGGAAGAGGUUAUCAGGUGGACAAGAUGAUGUUGCUUGGAAGGCAUCCGCAUGUGGUAAUCUUACGGUGAGAAUGAGGUCUGACGUCAUUAUUGAACGGCCAAUCCGAUUUCCCCACUUGAGAUGAGCCAGUUUUACCGGGAGGAGGAAUAUAGGGGGAAUAUAGGGUCUGGGCAGUGGACUUUGGUUGAGGGAUACACCAAGCCGAUACAGUGGUUACAAAUUUACCCGAUCGAUGCAGACUCAUCAUGGUGAGGAUUGAUCAAUCCAGGACGUUGGUCAUCCGCGGCCCGCGUGACUUUACGUUACAUAACGGGAAUGUUCUCGAGGACGUUCAAAAAUGCUUUGUACAAUAUACAAGAUUUGUUGAUCAAAACAGGUCAACCAAAAUCGUGUCGCCUUCCACACAUGCGACAACGUUACUAAUUUCAAUGUAGUGGCGUUAUUCAGGUAAAAUGAUGUAAAGGACGAGGUAACAUAACAUCCGUCUCACCAUGCUUGUAGCAAAAUUUACAUUACCUAUAGACAGGGCCUAUAGAUGCUCGAACUGAAUUCUGGGCUCCGUAACACAAAGGUUUGCGAUGAAUUGCAAAUAUGAAAAAACCGCUCUGAUUGGUCCCUGGUCAAUA